UAACUCAUAGUGGCGCACGGGUGCGUAACACGUAACUAACCUACCUAUAACUGGGGGAUAGCCCGCCGAAAGGCGGAUUAAUACCGCAUAAGCCAUGGACCCGGCAUCGGGAUUUUGGUAAAGAUUUAUUGGUUAUAGAUGGGGUUGCGGGUCAUUAGCUAGUUGGUUGGGUAACGGCUGACCAAGGCGACGAUGACUAGGGGAGCUGAGAGGCUGGUCCCCCACACGGGCACUGAGAUACGGGCCCG
rnacentral:rRNA from 1 species